GUGAGGAAUAUUGGUCAAUGGGCGGGGGCCUGAACCAGCCAAGUCGCGUGAAGGAAGAAGGAUCUAUGGUUCGUAAACUUCUUUUGCAGGGGAAUAAAGUGCAGGACGUGUCCUGUUUUGUAUGUACCCUGAGAAUAAGGAUCGACUAACUCCGUGCCAGCAGCCGCGGUAAUACGGAGGAUCCGAGCGUUAUCCGGAUUUAUUGGGUUUAAAGGGUGCGUAGGUGGUUUGAUAAGUCAGCGGUGAAAGUUUGCAGCUUAACUGUAAAAAUGCCGUUGAAACUGUCGGACUUGAGUGUAAAUGAGGUAGGCGGAAUGCGUGGUGUAGCGGUGAAAUGCAUAGAUAUCACGCAGAACUCCGAUUGCGAAGGCAGCUUACUAAGCUACAACUGACACUGAAGCACGAAAGCGUGGGGAUCAAACAGGAUUAGAUACCCUUGUAGUCC
rnacentral:rRNA from 1 species